AGUUCUUUAUGAGCUUCAGCUUUCAUUAUCACAACAAACAUCAGCAGAGUAUCCAAACAUGUGGUUGGCUGCCAUGGGUUGGAAGAAAUACUUAACUCCGCACAAAUUCAAUAUAGCACAAAACCUCUAUCUUGUUUUACAGCAUAGCAAUUCCAAGACCAACAGUAUCAGUUUUAUGGGUAGUAAAAAGUGAAAAUUUACAAAAAAAUAUUC